UCUAACCAAAUUCUCCAAUCUCGUCUGAUUCGACUCCAGGUUAGACUCUUGACUCCAAUUAGCUUUUGGAGAAGUCAUUAGCCUUGGGGUUCACAUACUUUUUCCAACCUACACUGUAAAUGUAUUCAAUAUAAAACCACAAUAAUGUGUGUGCUGUUAGUUUAAGCAGACUGUGUUUGUCUGUUGUUGUGACUGAGAUGAAGAUCAGAUCAAAUUUGAUGACCAAUUUAUGCAGAAAUCCAGGUAAUUCCGAAGGGUUCACAUACCUUUUGUGUGUUGUGGUUAGGUGUGUGAUAAAGGUUGUGUGUGUUAUAAGUGUGUGUUAAAGGUUGUGUGUUAAAGGUUGUGUGUUAAAGGUUGUGUGUGUGUUAAAGGUUGUGUGUGUUAUAAGUGUGUGUUAAAGGUUGUGUGUGUUAAAGUGUGUGUGUUAUAGGUUGUGUGUGUUAAAGUGCGUGUUAAAGGUUGUGUGUGUUAAAGGUUGUGUGUGUUAAAGGUUGUGUGUUAAAGGUUGUGUGUGUUAUAGGUUGUGUGUGUUAUAGGUUGUGUGUGUUAAAGGUUGUGUGUUAAAGGUUGUGUGUGUUAAAGGUUGUGUGUUAAAGGUUGUGUGUGUUAAAGGUUGUGUGUGUUAAAGGUUGUGUGUGUUAAAGGUGUGUGUUAUAAGUGUGUGUUAAAGGUUGUGUGUGUUAAAGGUUGUGUGUGUUAAAGAUUGUGUGUUAAAGGUUGUGUGUUAAAGGUUGUGUGUGUUAAAGGUUGUGUGUGUUAAAGGUUGUGUGUUAAAGGUUGUGUGUGUUAAAGGUUGUGUGUGUUAAAGGUUGUGUGUGUUAUAAGUGUGUGUUAAAGGUUGUGUGUGUUAAAGGUUGUGUGUGUUAUAGGUUGUGUGUGUUAAAGGUUGUGUGUGUUAUAAGUGUGUCUGUUAAAGUUUGUGUGUGUUAAAGGUUGUGUGUGUUAAAGGUUGUAUGUGUUAUAAGUGUGUGUUAAAGGUUGUAUGUGUUAUAAGUGUGUGUUAAAGGUUGUGUGUGUUAAAGGUUGUGUGUGUUAAAGGUUGUGUGUGUUAUAGGAUGUGUGUGUUAUAAGUGUGUGUUAAAGGUUGUGUGUGUUAUAAGUGUGUGUUAAAGGUUGUGUGUGUUAAAGGUUGUGUGUGUUAUAGGUUGUGUGUGUUAAAGGUUGUGUGUGUUAUAAGUGUGUGUUAAAUGUUGUGUGUGUUAAAGGUUGUGUGUGUUAUAAGUGUGUGUUAAAUGUUGUGUGUGUUAAAGGUUGUGUGUUAAAGGUUGUGUGUGUUAAAGGUUGCGUGUGUUAAAGGUUGUGUGUUAAAGGUUGUGUGUGUUAUAAGUGUGUGUUAAAGGUUGUGUGUGUUAAAGGUUGUGUGUGUUAAAGGUUUUGUGUGUUAAAGGUUGUGUGUGUUAAAGUGUGUGUGUUAAAGGUUGUGUGUUAAAGCUUGUGUGUGUUAAAGGUUGUGUGUGUUAAAGGUUGUGUGUGUUAAAGGUUGUGUGUGUUAAAGGUUGUGUGUGUUAUAAGUGUGUGUUAAAGGUUGUGUGUGUUAUAAGUGUGUGUUAAAGGUUGUGUGUGUUAAAGGUUGUGUGUUAAGGUUGUGUGUUAAAGGUUGUGUGUGUUAAAGGUUGAGUGUGUUAAAGGUUGUGUGUUAAAGGUUGUGUGUGUUAAAGGUUGUGUGUGUUAAAGGUUGUGUGUGUUAAAGGUUGUGUGUGUUAUAAGUGUGUGUUAAAGGUUGUGUGUGUUAAAGGUUGUGUGUGUUAAAGGUUGUGUGUGUUAUAAGUGUGUGUUAAAGGUUGUGUGUGUUAAAGGUUGUGUGUGUUAAAGGUUGUGUGUGUUAAAGUGUGUGUGUUAAAGGUUGUGUGUGUUAAAGCUUGUGUGUGUUAAAGGUUGUGUGUGUUAAAGGUUGUGUGUGUUAUAAGUGAGUGUUAAAGGUUGUGUGUGUUAUAAGUGUGUGUUAAAGGUUGUGUGUGUUAAAGUGUGUGUGUUAAAGGUUGUGUGUGUUAAAGGUUGUGUGUGUUAAAGGUUGUGUGUGUUAAAGGUUGUGUGUUAAAGGUUGUGUGUGUUAAAGGUUGUGUGUGUUAUAGGUUGUGUGUUAAAGGUUGUGUGUGUUAAAGGUUGUGUGUGUUAACGGUUGUGUGUGUUAAAGGUUGUGUGUGUUAUAAGUGUGUGUUAAAGGUUGUGUGUGUUAAAGUGUGUGUGUUAAAGGUUGUGUGUGUUAAAGGUUGUGUGUUAAAGGUUGUGUGUGUUAUAAGUGUGUGUUAAAGGUUGUGUGUGUUAAAGUGUGUGUGUUAAAGGUUGUGUGUGUUAACGGUUGUGUGUGUUAAAGGUUGUGUGUGUUAAAGGUUGUGUGUGUGUGUGUGUGUGUGUGUGUGUGUGUGUGUGUGUGUGUGUGUGUGUGUGUGUGUGUGUGUGUGUGUGUGUGUGUGUGUGUGUGUGUGUGUGUGUGUGUGUGUGUGUGUGUGUGUGUGUGUGUGUGUGCGUGCGUGCGUGCGUGCGUGCGUGCGUGCGUGCGUGCGUGCGUGCGUGCGUGCGUGCGUGCGUGCGUGCGUGCGUGCGUGCGUGCGUGCGUGCGUGCGUGCGUGCGUGCGUGCGUGCGUGCGUGCGUGCGUGUGUGUGCACAUGUCCAACUCAAAAUAGUUACCAAUACACACACACCACAUACUGUACACACACACACACACACACCACAUUGUCACGCCUUGGUCAUAGUAUUUUGUGUUUUCGUUAUAUAUUUGGUCAGGCCAGGGUGUGACAUGGGUUUAUUUUGUUGUAUUUCGUAUUGGGGUUUUGUAGUUAUUGGGAUUGCGGCUGAGUAGGGGUGUAGCAUA